rnacentral:rRNA from 1 species
UUGCGGUUAAAAAGCUCGUAGUUGGAUUUCUGCCGGUGAGCGGCGGUCUGCCCUAGUGGUUUGUACACGUCGGUCUUCACUGGCAUCUUCCUGGGGGCUGUGUCUGCACUUCGCUGUGUGGCGCAUGAUCCAGGACUUUUACUUUGAGGAAAUGAGAGUGUUUCAAGCAGGCAUUCGCCUUGAAUACGUUAGCAUGGAAUAGUGGCAUCGGACCUUCAUCCAAAGCUGUUGGUUCCUUGGAAGAAGGUAAAGGUGAAUAGGGAUUGUUGGGGGCAUUCGUAUUUGACUGUCAGAGGUGAAAUUCUUGGAUUUGUUGAAGACGGACUACUGCGAAAGCAUCUGCCAAAGAUGUUCUCAUUGAUCAAGAACGAAAGUUAGGUGAUCGAAGACGAUCAGAUACCGUCCUAGUCUUAACCAUAAACUAUGCCGACUGGAGAUCUGUGGCUGCUACCUAUAUGGCACCAUCUGCAUCUUGAGAGAAAUCAAAGUCUUUGGGUUCCGGGGGGAGUAUGGUCGCAAGGCUGAAACUUAAAGGAAUUGACGGAAGGGCACCACCAGGAGUGGAGCCUGCGGCUUAAUU